AAUGGGGGCAACCCUGAUCUAGCCAUGCCGCGUGAGUGAUGAAGGCCUUAGGGUUGUAAAGCUCUUUCAGCUGGGAAGAUAAUGACGGUACCAGCAGAAGAAGCCCCGGCUAACUCCGUGCCAGCAGCCGCGGUAAUACGGAGGGGGCUAGCGUUGUUCGGAAUUACUGGGCGUAAAGCGCACGUAGGCGGACUGGAAAGUUGGAGGUGAAAUCCCAGGGCUCAACCUUGGAACUGCCUUCAAAACUAUCAGUCUGGAGUUCGAGAGAGGUGAGUGGAAUUCCGAGUGUAGAGGUGAAAUUCGUAGAUAUUCGGAGGAACACCAGUGGCGAAGGCGGCUCACUGGCUCGAUACUGACGCUGAGGUGCGAAAGUGUGGGGAGCAAA
rnacentral:rRNA from 1 species